rnacentral:rRNA from 1 species
GUGAGGAAUUUUCCGCAAUGGGCGAAAGCCUGACGGAGCAAUGCCGCGUGAAGGAUGAAGGCCUAUGGGUUGUAAACUUCUUUUCUCAGAAAAGAAUUAUGACGGUAUCUGAGGAAUAAGCAUCGGCUAACUCUGUGCCAGCAGCCGCGGUAAGACAGAGGAUGCAAGCGUUAUCCGGAAUGAUUGGGCGUAAAGCGUCUGUAGGUUGUUUAAAAAGUAUUCUGUCAAAGAUUAGGGCUUAACCCUAGAUAGGCAGAAUAAACUUUUAAGCUAGAGUUUGGUGGAGGCAGAGGGAAUUCCCGGUGGAGCGGUGAAAUGCGUAGAUAUCGGGAGGAACACCAAAGGCGAAGGCACUCUGCUGGGCCAAUACUAACACUGAGAGACGAAAGCGAGGGGAGCAAAUGGGAUUAGAUACCCUAGUAGUCC